rnacentral:rRNA from 1 species
GACGAACGCUGCGGCGUGCUUAACACAUGCAAGUCGAGCGAUGAAACUACUUCGGUAGUGAAUUAGCGGCGAACGGGUGAGGAACACGUGAGGAAUCUGCCUUCAACACUGGGAUAACUCCGGGAAACCGGGGCUAAUACCGGAUAUGAGCUCUGAUCGCAUGGUCGGGGCUGUAAAGUUUUUCGGUUGAAGAUGACCUCGCGGCCUAUCAGCUUGUUGGUGAGGUAAUGGCUCACCAAGGCGACGACGGGUAGCCGGCCUGAGAGGGCGACCGGCCACACUGGGACUGAGACACGGCCCAGACUCCUACGGGAGGCAGCAGUGGGGAAUAUUGGGCAAUGGAGGAAACCUCUGACCCAGCGACGCCGCGUGCGGGAUGAAGGCCUUCGGGUUGUAAACCGCUUUCAGUAGGGAAGAAGCGAAAGUGACGGUACCUACAGA